GUCAAGUGUGUUGCUGAUUGGUCAGUAAAUAAAUCACUGAUUGGCCAUUGGCUAGGCAGGAAGUAUAGGUGGGACAAGGAGAAGAAUUCUGGGAAGUGGAAGGCUGAGGGAGAGACACUGCCAGCCGCCAUCAGGACAAGGAAGAUGUAAAGUACCGAUUCUUCUAGGGGGAAGACUUUGGAUCCACAGACUAUCAGGUCAAGGAAAGCCUUGCUGCUGUGCUUGGAUGGGGAAGAGAGCAAACCAGAGUCAUCCUGACGAAGGACUGCUGGACCUGUGCAUAUUGUUUGGACCACUGGCAAAGAUAUCCAAUUUUGCUGUUGAUUUCUUUCACACAGGCUGGGAUGUAAACAUGGAGACAUGUACAAGGAGGAGCUGGCAACUUUCCUCAGCAAGAACAGAUGAAUAAAUAAGGAGCAUGAGCGUGCGUCUUUUAGCCGAGGUGAUUUGUCAAAAGCCAUAGCACUGUGGCAGUUCUCUGAUUUUUAAGGAUUAUGCUCAACCUCAAUCAAGGAUAAUUUGAAAAG